AACGAACGCUGGCGGCAGGCUUAACACAUGCAAGUCGAGCGAGACCUUCGGGUCUAGCGGCGGACGGGUGAGUAACGCGUGGGAACGUGCCCUUCUCUACGGAAUAGCCCCGGGAAACUGGGAGUAAUACCGUAUACGCCCUUUGGGGGAAAGAUUUAUCGGAGCAGGAUCGGCCCGCGUUGGAUUAGGUAGUUGGUGGGGUAAUGGCCCACCAAGCCGACGAUCCAUAGCUGGUUUGAGAGGAUGAUCAGCCACACUGGGACUGAGACACGGCCCAGACUCCUACGGGAGGCAGCAGUGGGGAAUCUUAGACAAGGGGGGCAACCCUGAUCUAGCCAUGCCGCGUGAGUGAUGAAGGCCUUAGGGUUGUAAAGCUCUUUCAGCUGGGAAGAUAAUGACGGUACCAGCAGAAGAAGCCCCGGCUAACUCCGUG
rnacentral:rRNA from 1 species